AGUAACUGCAACGCUGCCCCUGAUAAGAUGCCGAUGCCAGCGUCGCUGUCGUUGCAAAAGGUCUUCUUUGUUGCCCAGUGAGAAGUUAAACAAAAACAAAAAAAAAACAGCACGAGGUUUGCCGAGGCGGCGCCGCUUGCAGCAGCAAUUUACAAUAACAACAACAACAGCUACGACCACUAUGCAUAUAACAACAACAGCAACAACAACAACAACAAGAACAACAGCAACGAGCGUCAUCGACAACGACAACGACUACUCCACAACAACGAGCGGGGCGACGUUGAUUGCCCCGGAAUGCCGUCAAACAGGUUAAAAAUUGCGCGAAUUUGAAAGUGAAAACUUCCACACACAC